rnacentral:rRNA from 1 species
CCUACGGGUGGCUGCAGUGGGGAAUAUUGCACAAUGGGGGGAACCCUGAUGCAGCGACGCCGCGUGGGUGAAGGAUUACUUCGGUACGUAAAGCCCUAUCAGCAGGAAAGAAAAUGACGGUACCUGACUAAGAACCCCCGGCUAACUACCUGCCAGCAGCCGCGGUAAGAAGUAGGGGGCAAGCGUUAUCCGGAUUUACUGGGUGUAAAGGGAGCGUAGGUGGCGGUGCAAGUCAGGCGUGAAAGCCCGGGGCUCAACCCUGGGACUGCUCUGGAAACUGUUGAGCUGGAGUGCGGGAGGGGCAGGCGGAAUUCCUGGUGUAGCGGUGAAAGGCGUAGAUAUGAGGAGGAACACCGGCGGCGAAGGCGGACUGCUGGACCGUAACUGACGUUGAGGCUCGAAAGCGUGGGGAGCAAACAGGAUUAGAUACCCGGGUAGUC